rnacentral:misc_RNA from 1 species
UAGCCGCAGUAAUUCCAGCUCCAAUAGCGUAUAUUAAAGUUGUUGCAGUUAAAAAGCUCGUAGUUGAAUUUCGGGAUUGACACAUCGGUCGUGCCUUAAGGGGUAUGAACUGGUGUAGUCAAUUUCUCACCUUCUGGAGAACCGCGAUGCCCUUAAUUGGGUGUCACGGGGAACCAGGACCUUUACUUUGAAAAAAUUAGAGUGUUUAAAGCAGGCAUUUUGCUUGAAUACAUUAGCAUGGAAUAAUAAAAUAGGACGGCAUGAUUCUAUUUUGUUGGUUUCUAGGAUCACCGUAAUGAUUAAUAGGGAUAGUUGGGGGCAUUAGUAUUCAAUUGUCAGAGGUGAAAUUCUUGGAUUUAUUGAAGACUAACUACUGCGAAAGCAUUUGCCAAGGAUGUUUUCAUUAAUCAAGAACGAAAGUUAGGGGAUCGAAGACGAUCAGAUACCGUCGUAGUCUUAACCAUAAACUAUGCCGACUAGGAAUCAGACGAUGUUAAUUUUUUAAUGACUCGUUUGGCACCUUACG